GGUUAUACUCUGAAAUAAUUUAGGGUCACAUUAUGCAUAAUGUUUGACUAGAAAUAGUGGAUUAUACUGAAGUAAAAAUGAAACGUUUAUGGUUAACAAUAGGCUAUAGUCUUUAUCUGGGCUACACACACACACAAAGGAUUUCAACAUGGCGAAUGAGGCGCGCCCACCCCGCCCGUUUGAUCGAUUAUAAUGUUUUAUUGCUGUGGGUUUUACGCCUUCAAUUCACGGGCUCCUAAGUGCGCUUUCAAAACCCUUAUUUAGAUAUAUAUCUGGUUAGUAUAUUUUAUAAUAUUAUUACAAUUUUAAGAUAUGAAAUACAGGGUAAUUAAAAUAUGAUAUUUUCUGUAUAUGCAACAAAAAUACUGCAUUUAGGUAUUAUUCUGCCGUAUUUUUAUUAAAAAUAUAUUGGAAACAAGUUCGAAUUCAUAGGCAUUUGUAUGUAUAUUAAAGCAUUUGAUUAUGUCACAAUUAAAAUAUGAUAUGCUAAUAUUGUAUCAAUGUUUUUCAAACACCAUAAUUCCAUAAGCUCUCCUAACUUUUCUACUGAAUAGGCAAUUAAACUAUACACUACAUAUACCCUAUUUUACAGAAAAUAAUGAAAGCUAUUUUUAGCUUGUUCAUAAUGCUACAUUCAGGUGGUGGUGGUUUAUUGCAUUUCAUGCCCAGCAAAGACGGCAAAUUGUAGAAUACAAAUACUUUUAAGAUCAACGAAUUAGCAUAGCAAACUGCAACUUAACUAUUCAUGACUAAAAUGACGGGGGGAGUGGAGAGGGAAAUGUGCAUUCCCCACCUUUUGUUGUUAGUAAUAAAUCCGUUGCAGUUCCGAAUAUUAUAAAAAAAAUAUAUAGUUGUUUCCAAGUUCCAUAAACCAUGGCAAUUUAUUUGAAAGUCUUCUAUAAGGUCAACGCAUAGUGGAUAAAAAACAAAACAAUUUUAACUAAACUCGUUCCUUGAUUUAAACCCAUUCACCGUUGGCAGAUUGCAUGUAACACGAGAAGGGAGCACGGACGCAGCUCAGCUCAAGAAUACAUAUAAACCACAUGCAGAAGUCCGUUUGAAUCUCGCGCCCUGAAGCGGACACCUCCUUGUCACGGGGCGUUCCAAAUAGCGUUGUGUCGCGCGCAUAGGCUGAGUUCCUGUGUUGUUGUAGAAUUCGAAUAUGAAACCAUCCCUGGUAUUUGCCGGUAGUCUCGCAUGUUCCUAACGAAAACACACGCUACACCACAACACGGUUUGGCUUUCUUGCGUUUUUCUAAGUAAAACGACCGUGGUUUGGGACAUCGAUGGUGUCGUGUCCAAUGUCCCCAUCCCCCUCUCGGAAAAAAAUGCAGUUUUCUCACAAAACGAAUUUCCUUUGACCCAAGUUCUCCCGUAUCGAAGGCCCAGAUGCGCUCUUCGUCCCAACGAUCCUCCUUCGCUGCCCUGAUCCAUUCAGUCCAGGUCCAGUCAAGUGCUUUACAUCUUUCCUCGAAGCGUAGCCUUCUCCCCUAUCCGUAUCCAAACACCACCAUUCCCUCUGUGCGAAUGUUCUCGCUGACUGCACGGCAGCUGGGCUUCCUGGGGAGAGUCGCGAAGAAGGGAUCUCCCCCUCCCUUUCUCUUUUCUCAGCAGAGCGGUAGAGAGAAAUAGGGGGAGGGGAAACCCGCGCGGAUAGCUGGAGGGAGCCCCGGUGAGCGGAGCCGGGCUGUGUCGUCUCUAACCAAAUCCCGCGGGCACGUGGGUGAAAGGACGAUCUGCAUAUUCACGCGAGGAAAGUAGAUCGAGAGUUCCGUUGCCAGCGCGCCUGAUGGGCGACAUUUUCCUUAUUAUUGUAUUAUCCAUCUAUAGAUUUUAUAUAGCAGUAGAGUCUAAAGUAUUAC
ensembl:lncRNA